rnacentral:rRNA from 1 species
GAUGAACGCUAGCGGCAGGCCUAAUACAUGCAAGUCGAGGGGCAGCAUAGUAGCAAUACUGAUGGCGACCGGCGCACGGGUGCGUAACGCGUAUGCAACCUACCCAUUACUGAGGGAUAGCCCGGAGAAAUUCGGAUUAAUACCUCAUGGUAUCAAAGACAGGCAUUUGUUUUUGAUUAAAGAUUUAUCGGUAAUGGAUGGGCAUGCGUCAGAUUAGCUAGUUGGCGGGGUAACGGCCCACCAAGGCGAUGAUCUGUAGGGGGUCUGAGAGGAUGAUCCCCCACACUGGUACUGAGCUACGGACCAGACUCCUACGGGAGGCAGCAGUAGGGAAUAUUGGUCAAUGGGCGAGAGCCUGAACCAGCCAUGCCGCGUGCAGGAAGAAGGCCCUCUGGGUUGUAAACUGCUUUUGACCAGGGAUGAUAAUGACAGUACCUGGAGAAUAAGCUCCGGCUAACUCCGUGCCAGCAGCCGCGGUAA